rnacentral:lncRNA from 1 species
UGGCUAAUUAAGCUCAUAUGAUAAUAUCCAUAUAACUUUUUUUUUGAGCAAAUUAUCCAUAUAACUUAUUGAUUCAAUCUUUGAAGUGUUACAUUUUGCUCAAUUAAUAAAAAACAAAGAGUCGCAUAUUUAAAUUGAUAAAUUACCUUUUCAAUAGAUUUUUGUUGUAUAAUGUCUUUCUUUAACAGUAAAACGUUGUUAGUUUUUUAGGGCAUAGCAGAAUGUUGUAUGUAUAUACAUUUAGGAUUUAGGAAAAAGAAAACACAUCUAAAUCCUAAAUGUUAAUCUUUUUUUAAUCCGUAAAAAUAUUGUUAUUUAGAAGUUUUUUUGUUGUGUAAAGUAGGUAUUCUGCAUGCGCGCAACUCCAAAGACUAAUCUCUCAAGUCUUAUGGAACUCAAAUGGGUGGCAAACUCUCCUUAAGAAUUUUAAUGCUGCUACAUGUCGAAGCAUGAAUUCAAACACAGAACCCUGAUCAAACUAGAAGAAUCAUGUGUCAUCUCAUUUAAACGUUGUCGAGUUGUUAUUUAGAAGUUUGAGAUAUCCCCUAUCUAGCUUCUCACAUCAUCCAUUAUAAAAUAUCCACUUUUAAGUACUUAAGCGAAUCUCACAUUUACAAAUUAUUCAUUUAUAACUUUUUAAUAAUCGUAUAUACUAAACAUUCAAUCUAACACCAAUGAAAAAAGUUUUAAAUGAUUUCGACCAAUAUUUUUUUUAUCUUAUAUCAAUAAUUCUAU